rnacentral:rRNA from 1 species
UGGGGAAUUUUGGACAAUGGGCGAAAGCCUGAUCCAGCAAUGCCGCGUGUGUGAAGAAGGCCUUCGGGUUGUAAAGCACUUUUGUCCGGAAAGAAAUCCUUGGCUCUAAUACAGUCGGGGGAUGACGGUACCGGAAGAAUAAGCACCGGCUAACUACGUGCCAGCAGCCGCGGUAAUACGUAGGGUGCAAGCGUUAAUCGGAAUUACUGGGCGUAAAGCGUGCGCAGGCGGUUUGCUAAGACCGAUGUGAAAUCCCCGGGCUCAACCUGGGAACUGCAUUGGUGACUGGCAGGCUAGAGUAUGGCAGAGGGGGGUAGAAUUCCACGUGUAGCAGUGAAAUGCGUAGAGAUGUGGAGGAAUACCGAUGGCGAAGGCAGCCCCCUGGGCCAAUACUGACGCUCAUGCACGAAAGCGUGGGGAGCAAACAGGAUUAGAUACCCUGGUAGUCCACGCCCUAAACGAUGUCAACUAGUUGUUGGGGGGCUUCAUUUCCUUAGUAACGUAGCUAACGCGUGAAGUUGACCGCCUGGGGAGUACGGUCGCAAGAUU